ACAUGGUCAUGAUUCAUUUUGGGUCUGUGUUAAUGUCUGUUGCCUCUGUUACCACAGGGGCCCAUGUGAACCAUGGGUUAAAAACCAUCCAUGACCUGCUGGACCAUGUGAAGGGACUGGCCUUAUGGAACCAUAGCUGCAGGAUCUCUAUUACUCAGGGCAUCAGCAGGAUAUCCAAGAGGAGAAUCAGUGAGGGUCCAGCAUUGAUGGUGGACCAGAUAGAUGCCAGAGGCCUUGGAGCAGACCAACAACUCACUACACAAUGAACCUCUGCAAGUGAACUACAUGAUACACCGCAGCUCCCAAUGCCAUGAAGACUAAUGAAGAGUUGCUUAUUUUUCAUCUCGAUUUCCACUUGGAAAAUGAUUAGCACCUAGGAUCACAGUUGACUUCCCAACAGGAGACAUAGUCGCUUAACUGUGUUUAAAAGUCACUGCUCUGAAGAAGACCGUGGAUAUGUGUAGACUUACAAGUGUGCUAUGUAUACCUUCAUAUGUACCACCAUGAAAAUCCUCAUGUGUGUUCUCUUUGUUUUCAUGUAUCUUCUGUGUAUACCUUCCCAGGUGCUAUGCAUAUUUUCAUAUUGUGUUAUUUAUAUUUUCAUGUGAUUCCCAUAUAUGUCUUCAUGUAUGUUAUGCACAUUUUCAUGAGUUAUGAAUGUUUUUAUAUAAGAACUUUAUUUUUCUGUUUGUUACACGUUUUCAGUUUUCAUAUGUAUCCAGUAUACUUUUCACUUGAAUGUCCUGCAUGUCUUCAGAUGUGUUAUGUAAAUUUUUACAUACAUUAUACACAUUUCAAUAGGUGUUUUGCAUAUUUUUAUAUGUAUUUUGCAUAUUUCACAUGGUCAUUGUACUCGUUUUCAUAUCACAUAUGUCUUCAUAUGUAAUAUGUAUAUCUUCCCAUGUUUUAUACACAUUUUCAUAUGUGUGCUAGGCGUAUUCCAUAUGUGCCAUGUGUAUUUUCAUGUGAUUGUCAAGCAUAUCUUUAUAUGUGCAAUGUAUAGUUUCAUUUAAUUGUCAUGCAUAUAUUCAUACAUCAUCAUACAUAUCUUCACAUGUGUUAUGCAUAUCUUCAUACUUGUUAUGUAUAUUUUCAUAUUUAUACUGGUUGUAUUAUUUUCAUAUACACAUACACACACAUAUAUGAAAUGAAGUUAAUCCCAGGAGGAAGUACAAAAUUAUAAUAAUAAAGUUUGUGAAACAUUGUGACUAUGGUUAAA